CAGGGCAUGAAAGAAGGGGCUUUAUUUGAGGAAGGAGGAGUGCCAAUGAGAAAGAAGCUGUUGAGUAAAAUGCAUAUUCCUGAGUGUUGCCUGUUCUGCUGUACCAAUGCAUUGCAGGGGGAAUAAACCUCAGCCCAACCCUGUGUGCUUCUACCCUGAGAUGCUCAUACUGCAGGGGAGCCUUUUCCAGCUUCUGAAUUCAAUUUACAGAAGGAAAAAUGCCAAAUAAGAGCAAAUGUUUUAAUUAUAAAGAAACACUUUUCUUAGCAGUAUGUCUCCAUAGACAAUGCAUUUCUGGGUCAUUUUAACUCAGCUUGGGUGGAAAUGGGAAACUUCAUCAUGCAGAACUCUGGAAGAGUUUUACUACAGCUGCACUCUAACCAAAACUUUCACUGCAUGUGACCCUAAUCUUAACUGAAAAUAACUGCUGGAGAUGGGCUUAAUGACCUGGAAGUAAUUAGAAGAGUCUGCAAACAAAGAUAACUGCCACAUCACAAAC